rnacentral:lncRNA from 10 species
AACAGACUCCGGGUUUCUAAGCAGAUGGAGUGAACAGCUGACUGAGAAGCUCAAGCCUGAAGCAGGUGGCGGAUUCUCUUAGCAGCACCAAAUCACCCUGUCAGGCAGCCCAGCCAGGGCAGCUCAGGAGUGGGCCACAGAGCAGGACCUGCCAGGACGUCCAGAGAGUGUGGGUGGAAGCUGCUUCCCAGUGGAGCCUGGCCAGGGGGCGACUGCCAGACAGUGAGGCGGAUGAGUCAGCCCUGAAAGCGAUCCUGGCCAUGACCUAGUGGGAGAGGAGAGAACAGAAGGGGCAGUCAGGAACUGACAGAAGCUUGAUUGUAAAGAGUGUUAACUCUUCAAGGAAAAAAAAUUAAAAAUAUUUUUUAAAGAAAAUGAAGGCCCAGAUGGAAGAGGCCCCCACCUGUAACGCCAAGGUGAGCUCAUCCCCAGGUACCACAAUGACCUGAGGUGCUUGUAAAAGAUGCCGCUCUCUUGGUGCUUGGCUAGGAGCAAGCUAUGGCAUGGAGAACAGGGAUAGACCCACCUGAAAAUCUGGACCUGCUUCUUCGUGGAUGAAGGAAUGUGCACCCAGGAGGCCAGGACCCCUGGUCACCUGCAUGAAAGGUUUGAGGUGGUGCCGCACAUUCCAGAAGGUGAUGUGGUCUCAGAUGAUGCCCAUGGGCACUGUCAGGGUGGGUCCAGGACUGCAGCUGCCUGGGCUGUUUAUUCUGCAGGCAGACAUGCCCUGGGGGCCAGUCUGAAGAGCAGCUCAGAGAAGGUGAUCAAGCUCCAUUUUCAAAAACAAAACAAAAAAGUGAAGACAGACUAACACCCAGUAAACGUGAUGUGAUCAGGGCUGCCACUUCCAGAGCACCCUGAGAGUCAAGACCAAAGAUCACCAGCAGCCUCUGAUUUGAACUUCAGAUUGGAUCUGGAGGCUAAGCAUUCUCAGCCUGCUCUAAAGCUGGACAGGCUUCCUGACACCAGAGCUGGCUGCUGGACCUGAGGAUGCACCACAGGAGGCUGAGCCUCCUCCCACAGCGGGGAGAUGGUGCCCAGGUGAAAGACACGUGUCCUGAGAGAAACCCCUCGGCCCAUCACUCAUCACAGAGGGGCCGGGGAACAGCUCCUACUUUUCUCUCAAGCAGUGAUAACAUGUGAUUUCCCAGGUCAAUCUUGAUUUCAGAAAUGUUAAAAAUAAAUGGGCCUGGAAGACUUGUAAUUUGAGAAUAAGACUUGAAAACAAGUGAAAAGCAGUGAGAACAGAUUUUGGUGCCUCCUAGACUUUUCUCAUUGGCUGCGCACAUUUAGCCUUGAAAGCAUAGCAGUCCUACACCCAUCCAAAAUGAAGGAAACUGUUCUGGAAACAUUUUUACCUUGGUUUCUCCUAAAGCAAGUUGGAUCUCUGUGAUGCUAUCUUGCAUGCUGCUGAAGUCAUUUUCCAGUGGUGUAAUUUUCCUGUUAACUUAAAAAGAGAAGCUCAGCAUUACAUGUCCCUCUGGGCUUCAGACAUCUGUUCCUUCCUCCCAUGUCCAGAAAUAUUAGACAAUUUCUCUCCAGCAUCAAGAGAAACAAAGUGAUGGGAGCUUAUUUCAAUUUUGAGAGAAUCUGAGUUUGUAGGACUAACACAAUGAUCAAUACCAGUUUGACAGUGGAAGGGUGUUAACAUUUAUUUCUUUUUUUUUUUUUAAGGAUUUUAUGAAUCUUUUGUCUCUCAUUUCUUAAGAAUUCUAACUACACUGCUUGAUAUCAUACAAUAAUAAUUUUUCUGAAAACUGAGAACAGAGAUUCUGUUUAGUUAAAACUUCCAAAUCAGUUGUAAAUGUGGGUAUAGUCUGAAUCAUAAUCAAUGCAAUUCAAAGACAGAAGAGAAGGAUGUCAGAGGAUACAGUGGGCAACAGGGAAGACUUCAGGAGACUUCAGGUGGAUCUCCGUAUUUCAUGAACAAAUCCCAGAUUUCCAAGAAAUAGGAAGACGAUUGUCCUGAGGUUUACAGAUCUCUUCCUCCCCCACCUCUCUCUCCUUUUUAAAAAGUAGUUGAAAAAGACUUGAGGUGACUCUAAAUACUUUUAUUUGUUAGCUUACAGUUGUAAAGAAGUUGAACAGCAUUUGUUAAGGUGGCGGGGACUGUACAGGAAGGGAGGGUGUGCAGAAGGACGGUGAUCAUGGGCAGCAGCACCAAGCUCCAGAGGAAAAGAAACAGGCAGAACUGCUUAAAAUCCCUACAAGGAAAAAAAUCAUGCAUAUCUCAGGGUACACAGGACAAGCAUUGUCAUUAGCUCAUUCCGCAACAAAUGUCACUUCUUGUGUGAUUCCAUUUCCAUUGCUCCAUUUUUGUUCAAAGUUGAAAAAAUCUGGUGUCCCUAAGCACGAAAUGGAGUAGGCUUGCAACUCUGUGGAUCUUAUGAUAAUGACACUGGUCCUUCUCCUUCCUUUGACUGUAAAGAACACUGACACAUUAUUAGGAUUUUAUUGGUACCUGUGAGCCUGACGGGACAGCAAAGACAGGGAAGGAGUUCCUGACACACAAGAUAUCACACACACAUGCUCACCGGAAAUUCUUUAAAAGGGGCUUUGAUUUAAACAUUACAAUUGCGAUUUAAAGUGCAAUAACACAGGAAUAUUUUUCUAAGAGACUCAGUUAAGUGUAUGCUAAAUUAAUUGGAUAAAAUAUAAAAUUCUGAGUGCAGGUAUUUAUUUAAAAUUCCCAGUGCUAAAAGUUUUGGGGUGAUAUUGCGAAGACACAGUGAAACAUGGUGUAAUUUCUCUCAGUAAAGGAAUUUGGGUUCCAACCAAAGGAGACAGGAAUGCAUGCAGGCAGUGAUUAGACACUGGGAGGAGAGGCAGCACUCAGUGUGGUCGGAGGCGAAGUGGAGGCAGGCUCAGGGCUGCAAAUGGGACUGCUGGUAUUCUAGAGACAGCUGCUUACUUUCUAGUUCAGCUGUCUAAAAACCUGUCCUGGGCCUGGAAGCAGGGUGCAUCUGGAGUAAAGGCUGCUUUAGAGUUUAGCUCCCACAGCAAGGUGGCAUCAUUGUAGAUCUUGACACAGGUAGCUCCUGGGGCCACUUUUAAGUUCCCUUCUGAUGUGUUGUCCUUUUUGGGACAGGUGAAUAGAGCAAUCAGAAUUGCUGCAAAUGAAGACAUUGCCCCUGAGUUGAAUGAGAGAUCUAUUCACUUCAAUCACUGUCAUUUUCCUUAAUAAUGAAGACACUAAGUUAUGACAAAUGUCUCCAUUACCUACAUCUAUGGGAAAUUAACUGAUAGAGCUUGGUACAAUAAACAGAAAAUUGAUGAGAAAAAAUUGGGGAGAAAAUUUAACAGCCAGGCCCAAAACUGAAGAAAUAUCUCCCACAGACUGUGGUUCUGUUCUGUGCAAAUAUUGUAGACUUUUACAUAUUUUGGUUGAUAAAAUAUGCUGAAUGAGACGCCCUCACAUUUGGGUAAACCAACUACAUUAUACAAAUAAAGUUUUGGAAGUAUCUUUGUGCACUGUGACUAAUAAUAGGAAAAGAAAAAUGGGGGUUGAAAAGAAAUACUCUGAUUUGCCUUGAGAGUUUUUUUGGUGCUUGAAAUAUUUCCUCGAUAUUCUUCAUAAGAUGUUAGAAAAUCUCUAUGUCCAAUUUAAUUAUAUCUUGGUCUUCUUUUUUGGUUCUUGUGAGGAUCUGGGUUUGGAGACCAAAGCACUCCAGGAAGGCAAGCGUGUGAAUGCUUGUGAGCUCACUGUCUUCUUGCUAUCUAUUCCCCAACCUGUUUUAUUAACCAUCAGAUUACAGAAACAGGAAAGCCAAAAAUUCUCCAAGGGGACUCCACUUCCAAUUCCAGUUCUUACUCGUUCUUCGUAGAAUAGGCCUUUGCGGCCUCUUUCCUGACCAGCGUCCUCACCUGGUGCUCAGAACCUCAUGUUGUCCAAAGUAGGACCCUUGACAACAUUUCAAAGACCCGAGUGACUCUGGCUGUUUCUCUGAAAAGCAAUAAUAGAAGCCUUCCAGAAAAUGGCCUUUAAUAACUUGGCAUAAACUCAACUCAAAUAGGGACCUCUCUACCUCUUCACCAGGCUCAAUACUGUUAGGGAAACUUAGCUAGUUCUGAUCCAAAAAAGGAGAUUGCUGAGGACAGUCCCCUUCAGCUGAGCACUUAAAACCCUGCCGUCCAGAGCCGUCCACCAAAAGGCAAAAUGACUGCUCCUCCCUCAACUUCUUCCUUUAGGAUAUUGUGUAUUUUUCUAUCCUUGGUUCUUUCUGGAAUAACCCUGACAAGGUGUUCCACAUUUCAACUAUAAAUUUCAUUUUGGUAUUAUAGACUGAAACUGUUUUUAUUUUAACUGAAAAGUUUAGUGAACUAAUUACAGAUUUUAGCCAUUCUGAUAGGUGACACAUCACUAUGAUUUUCAUUUUCAUUUCUCUGAGAGCUAAUGAGGCUACAUCUUUUUAGAUGUGCUUUUUUUAACCACCUAUAAAUCUGCUUUAGGUAUAUGUGUGUUCAUGUCUUUUACCCAUUGUCUAACUGGAUUGUUUGACUUUUUACCAUUGAGUUUUAAGAAUUUGUUAAAUAUUCUGGAUACUUUUUAUUUGUUGGCUAUGUGCAAAUAUUUUCUCCCAGUCUGUAGCUUAUCAUUUUAUUCCUUUCACAAGGGUUUUUAUAAACAAAAGCUUUAAAUUUUGAUGUGGUCCUACUUAUUAAAUUUUUUUGUUAUGGAUUACGUUGAUUUUCUACCUAGUAGUUUAUCAGUUGCUAAGUGAGGUUUUGAAGUCUCCAACUAGAGUUGUGGAUUUAUCAAUUUCUCCUGUCAGCUCCACAGUUUUUGCUUUACAAGUCUUAAAGUUUU